AUGUUAAGUGAAAAGGAUGUGGCGUUGCCCAGACAACUAGGAUGUUGGCUUAGAAGCAGCCAUCAUUUAAAGAGUGCGUAAUAGCUCACUAGUCGAGUGACACUGCGCCGAAAAUGUACCGGGGCUAAACAUAUUACCGAAGCUGUGGAUUGUCCUUUGGACAAUGGUAGGAGAGCGUUCUAAGGGCGUUGAAGCAUGAUCGUAAGGACAUGUGGAGCGCUUAGAAGUGAGAAUGCCGGUGUGAGUAGCGAAAGACGGGUGAGAAUCCCGUCCACCGAUUGACUAAGGUUUCCAGAGGAAGGCUCGUCCGCUCUGGGUUAGUCGGGUCCUAAGCUGAGGCCGACAGGCGUAGGCGAUGGAUAACAGGUUGAUAUUCCUGUACCACCUAUAAUCGUUUUAAUCGAUGGGGGACGCAGUAGGAUAGGCGAAGCGUGCGAUUGGAUUGCACGUCUAAGCAGUAAGGCUGAGUAUUAGGCAAAUCCGGUACUCGUUAAGGCUGAGCUGUGAUGGGGAGAAGACAUUGUGUCUUCGAGUCGUUGAUUUCACACUGCCGAGAAAAGCCUCUAGAUAGAAAAUAGGUGCCCGUACCGCAAACCGACACAGGUAGUCAAGAUGAGAAUUCUAAGGGUGAGCGAGCGAACUCUCGUUAAGGAACUCGGCAAAAUGACCCCGUAACUUCGGGAGAAGGGUGCUCUUUAGGGUUAACGCCCAGAAGAGCCGCAGUGAAUAGGCCAAGCGACUGUUUAUCAAAACACAGGUCUCUGCUAAACCGUAAGGUGAUGUAUAGGGGCUGACGCCUGCCCGGUGCUGGAAGGUUAAGAGAGUGGUUAGCUUCUGCGAAGCUACGAAUCGAAGCCCAGUAAACGGCGGCCGUAACUAUAACGGUCCUAAGGUAGCGAAAUUCCUUGUCGGUAAGUUCCGACCCGCACGAAAGGCGUAACGAUUUGGGCACUGUCUCAACGAGAGACUCGGUGAAAUCAUAGUACCUGUGAAGAUGCAGGUUACCCGCGACAGGACGGAAAGACCCGUGGAGCUUUACUGUAGCCUAUAUUGAAAUCGGCACAGCUUGUACAGGAUAGGUAGGAGCCUUGAAACGUGAGCGCUAGCUUACGUGGAGGCGCUGGUGGGAUACUACCCUAGCUGUGUUGGCUUUCUAACCGCACCACUUAUCGUGGUGGGAGACAGUGUCAGGCGGGCAGUUUGACUGGGCGGUCGCCUCCUAAAAGGUAACGGAGGCGCUCAAAGGUUCCUCAGAAUGGUUGGAAAUCAUUCAUAGAGUGUAAAGGCAUAGGGAGCUUGACUGCGAGACCUACAAGUCGAGCAGGGUCGAAAGACGGACUUAGUGAUCCGGUGGUUCGCAUGGAAGGGCCAUCGCUCAACGGAUAAAAGCUACCCCGGGAUAACAGGCUUAUCUCCCCAAGAGUUCACAUCGACGGGGAGGUUUGGCACCUCGAUGUCGGCUCAUCGCAUCCUGGGGCUGUAGUCGGUCCCAAGGGUUGGCUGUUCGCCCAUUAAAGCGGUACGCGAGCUGGGUUCAGAACGUCGUGAGACAGUUCGGUCCCUAUCCGUCGUGGGCGUAGGAAAUUUGAGAGGAGCUGUCCUUAGUACGAGAGGACCGGGAUGGACAUACCUCUGGUGUACCAGUUGUCGUGCCAACGGCAUAGCUGGGUAGCUAUGUGUGGACGGGAUAAGUGCUGAAAGCAUCUAAGCAUGAAGCCCCCUCAAGAUGAGAUUUCCCAACUUCGGUUAU
rnacentral:rRNA from 1 species